CUCCAGAUAGCCUAGUGAUUUAGGCUAUGGAUCGCCAAUCCGGAGAUAACGGGUUCGAUCCCCGUUCCGGUCG
rfam:Aedes albopictus isolate Foshan contig86673, whole genome shotgun sequence.